UCCGAAUUGGUGUAGUGGCUAACAUUUGACGCUCUCAUCUUCGUCCUGCGAAGGAAGCACCGUCAAGCCCGGGGUUCGAUUCCCCGAUUCGGAG